GGCUCAGGAUGAACGCUAGCGGCAGGCUAACACAUGCAAGUCGAGGGGCAUCGGGAGUAGCAACACUUGCCGGCGACCGGCGCAAGGGUGCGUAACGCGUGAGCAACAUGCCCGUAUCAGGGGGAUAAUCCAUGGAAACGUGGUCUAAUACCCCAUAGUAAUUAUGUAAGGCAUCUUAUAUAAUUUAAAGCUUUGGUGGAUACGGAUUGGCUCGCGUGACAUUAGCUGGAUGGUAAGGUAACGGCUUACCAUGGCUACGAUGUCUAGGGGUUCUGAGAGGAAGGUCCCCCACACUGGAACUGAGACACGGUCCAGACUCCUACGGGAGGCAGCAGUGAGGAAUAUUGGACAAUGGAUGGAAAUCUGAUCCAGCCAUGCCGCGUGCAGGAAGAACCGGCCCUAUGGGUUGUAAACUGCUUUUGUAUGGGAGCAAUAAGGGCUACGUGUAGUCCGAUGAGAGUACCAUACGAAUAAGCACCGGCUAACUCCGUGCCAGCAGCAGC
rnacentral:rRNA from 1 species